rnacentral:snoRNA from 1 species
CUACGUGAUGAUAAAAGGCCAUAGUGCCUGAUCUCUUAAACCCAGCUCGUCGAGUGCUAUCCAUGAUUUUCGUGGAGAGCACUAUGAGAUAAGAACAUAUCUGAUUUU